UGGAAACAGCCUGCGGGGCUUUGGAACCAGCUCCUGGGAGUGAGUUGGGAAGAUAAGCUGGGGACACUUUCUAGGGCUGAGGUCAGGGUUUGAGUUUCAGUUGUUGAUUUGUUCCCUGCCCGAUCAGUGGAACUUGAAGAUGAAAAGCGUUCUCAGAGAGCUGCACCGUAAGUGCUCCGGCAGUAACAGUGUCAUUAGAAUGGGCCCAGCUUCUCCACAUUAUCCGUCUUUGCGUCUCAUUUUUCCGCUUGGUAGAGAUGACAUACUGUGUCUAGACUUUCGUUGUUAAGCACAUUUAGCUUGGAACGAGCGGUGUCUUUCCUGGCUGGUAGACUCUGCUGACUUGGAUGAAGAAAAUAAAUCAAGCCUUCCUCCAAACUCAGAAUUAGAUUUUGAGUCACCUCAGAAGGAAGAAAGAGCCGCAGAAGACUGUUACAUGCGUCUGUGCAGAAGGGCGGUGUGCCAUGCCCACUUAGAGCUCACUUCUAAGAAGUAAUCACAUGGCUUUAAAAUCCAAGGUCAAAGAAGACGGGGAAGUGAAAGGGAGCCCAUGAAAUUUUUGCAGCUUUGGUCCAGCAACAUUUUGAGACUACCUAGGAAAAAUUCCUCAUUCUAUCUAAAUGUUCAUCUCCUGCCUAUCCCUCACAGGUAAGGGGUGUAUAUAGGA
rnacentral:sRNA from 1 species